GGGAGUGUUUGCAGAUGGACCCGGAAGAUCUUUUUGGGUUGAUGGAAACUUUCUAAAAUUGGAUUGUAAUGAUGGUUACACAAUAUUUUAAAUUCGCUAAAAAUCACUGAAUUACAUACUCAAAAUAAAUGAGUUUUAUGAUACAUAUAUUAUUCCUCAAUAAAGUUGUAAAAUGAGAUUAAAUAGAUAAGUCAUGGAUAUGCAAAAACCAGUUGGGAGGUCACUGGGAUACCCUAGCUAAAACAUGACCAUGACUGAGACUAUGGUGGUGGCCUUCAUGUGGAAUGGGAAAUAGAUUUGAGAAAUAUUAUGAAUUAUAAGCAACAGAAGUUGGGGGAGAUUGAACAUGGAGAGUUUGGCUUAUACUCUCUCCUGUAGAAAUGCCAAAUAUCUUGUGAAUACUUGAACAACUCAUGCCCUUUCUCACCUCUCUCUUUGUGUGUUUCAUCCUGGAUUCCUCAGGAAUGAGUUUUGCACCAUUAUCUGCCUAGUUAUCUUAGAUUGGGCUGCUACUGGAAAUUGCCAUACACUGGGUAACUUAAACAGCAAACAUUUAUUUAUCAUAGUUCUAGAAGCUAGAAAGUCCAAGAACAAGGCACUAGCAUAUCUAGUGUCUGGUGAAGGUCCCCUUCCUAGUUGUAGAUGGCUGCUUUCUUGCUGCAUCCUUAUAUGGUGGAAAGAGAGAGAGCAAGCUAGGUCUCAGGCCUCCUCUUAUAAGGCCCCAAUUUCAUCAUAGAGGCUCCACCCUCUCGACCUCAUCUAAACCUAAUCACUUCCCAAAGGCCGCAUAUCCUAAUACCAUCACAUUGGCCUGGAGGUUUCAACAUAUGAAUGUUGGGGGAACACAAACAUUCAGUCCAUAAUACUGCUGUAUACCUGAUCAUCCUUCAAGACUCCAACCAAAUGCAACCUCUCUUUGAAAAUUCUUCCUUGACCCACCUCAACUCUACUUUGCCCUCCAGUACUUUCUGCACAUUUCUAUUUCAGCAUUUUAUUGUACCCCUUUGUUUACAUGUCUAACCCUCCCACUGGGUCACUGUUGUCAAACCUGAUCACUGUUGUCUGAUACUUGUCUUCACUUCCAUUACAGUAUCCCUGCCAGACGUGACUAAUUGAUCACAGCACUCUCCUGCUGAGUCAGGAUUCCUCUCAAAACAGUGCCACAGGUAGCCUCUUCUAACCAACUGGCAUUGAUACAUCCAUAAAAUCUAUUUGCCACAUCUGCUUUUAAUUGCAAUGCCCUUGAUGAUAGGCAUUUCUGAUGUGUCUAUGCAUCUCCUGCACCAGAACAUAGAAUGAAUACAAUUAAAUGCAUAAAAACCUUUUUAGGAAGAUGCUUCUAGAUAUAUUUACACUCGAUAUGUAAAGUAAUUUAUUCCUACCUAUCAUAUCUCUUUCAUGGCAGUGGCUUCUAAUUUUCACCAUCAGGGAGCAAGAAAUUUGGCUAAAUAUCAUGAUAGUUUCUUUCCAUUUUUUUCUUCAAAAUCCUGUGUUUUGUUAAGUGUAGGCACAGCCGAUAGUUUUCCAUCAUAAACUACCAAACUACAACCCGUAAUGGGUCUUUACACAAUGGUCUUUAUAUUUUAGACAUUAUGCCUUUGAGAGCUAAUGCUUUCUAAGUCGGGCAUCAAGAUAAUGAUUUAGUUAUUUAUUCCUUUGAACCAGCUACUUUAUGACUCAUUUUUCUCCCUAACCCGUGCUAUUCUACGCUAAUCCAUACAUUACUUCCCUUCAAUACAGAUGACACAGACUGUUUACUCAGGAUGAUUUUGCAAUAUGCACAUGAACAAAGACUUUGUGAGCAGGAAGAAUACCAGUUAUUCAACCAACUUUAAGAAAACAGCUGAGUGGUAGACGAGCUUAGCAGGGUGUUAAACAUCCAUUAAUAAUGGCAGGGCGACAAACUUGAAGGUUUUGAUUUUCGUUCAGAUAAGCACUCCAAAUUCAGAGCCAGGCUAAAUGUCUUUCUGGGUUUCUCUUAGAGAAAAUCUUACCUACCUCUGCAAGAAUGUUCAGCUGCAGGAAUGUUAGAAGGCAGACAUUUUCACAGUAGCUCAUGUAAUAAUUAUUAUGAUGUAAUACAUAUUAAAAGUAUUAUAAAUGUUGAACUUUGUAGGAUAGUCUUGAUUUCAAAGACUUGCCACUGCCUUUUCCCCAUGCCAAAGUUUCUCAGAUCAUACGUAUGGAUUUAUGGUUCCAUACGUAAAUGAAAAUAUGAAAAUACCAUCAAUAUAGUCUAAAGCUUUUAUUCCCAUUUAGAAAUUUUAACCAAACUAACUCUAUUCUCAGUGGAAAAAAAUCACGAUUUUCCUUCAAUUUUCAUUGAUUCUCAUGUUAUAUUGUACAUACAUCUAUCUCUUCCACCAAUCUGUAAUUUCUUUGAAAACUGGGGCCAUGAUGUUUAUUUUUGUGUUCCAUUAACACCUCUCCGUUUUAGGUACUCAAUUAGUGUCACUAAGUAACUAGUGUUACUAAAAAUAUGGUUUGCAAAAAAAAUUAUUUAUAUGCUCAUAUUAGGAUCAUUUCUUCAUGGCUUGUGGGAAAUUUCAUCACCAUUAAAAUGGUUCGUUUACUCUAGUUUCACAAGAAAUCAAUUUGUUUUUCCAAUAUGUGUUGAGCUAUACUAUGUCAGCCACUAUGAUGGUCAUUUUACACAAAUUUUCCCAAUUAGUACUCACAACCUCUCUAUGAAGUAAGUGCUAUUAUUAUCUUUUUUAUAGAUAAGAAAAUUGUACACAGUUACAUAACUCUUUCAUAAUCGUGCAGGCCUUGGGUAAGCAGAGAGACCUGAUUCAAAACCAGGUCCUGGACUCUGAAGCCCAGAAGUUCCAUUUCAUUGUACUUCUACGAAGAAAUUUCUUUUCUCUCUUACUCUUCAAGGAGAGAAAACAAAAGUUUUGUCUUGUCUUGGUUUCUUGUGGCUCUUUUUUUCCAAAGAAAAAUAAGUCUUUGGACUGGUUUCUGAGGUAAAAAUCCCAGCGUUUUCUUUGUGUCUUUUUCUUGUUGAUGUCCGAAUUCUAGUGCAUCAGCAAAUCCCAUCAUCCCCACUUUCAAAUUCUAUUGAGAACCUCACCACUUCUCUUCACUUCAGCUGCUGUCACCCUGGCCCCAGCCACCAGCAACUCCAGUGGAUUGUCACAAUACCUCUUCCUCUUAUAGCCCCACCACCAGCAUUCUUGCACCCCUAUAGACAACUCUCAAAAUAGCAGAGUGUUCUUUCAAAAAGGCAAGUAAGAUCAUGUUACUCACUGUCCCCCAUUCCAGUAACUUCCCAUCUCACUCACGGUAAAAGACCAAAUCUUUCCAACAGUUCUACACAAUUUACCACUUCUGUCUACACUCACUUCUCUGAUUGACAUCAUUCCCUACUACUCUGCCCUGUACUAACUCUGCCUAAGCCAUGCUAUCUCCUUUCUGUCCCUCCAAUUCAUGAUGUGUUUGUGCCACAGGGCCUUUGUACUUGUCAUUGCUUCUGACUGGAAUACUCUUCCCCAGAAUAGCUGCAUGGCUUUCUUCCUCACUUCCUUCAGGUUUUUCAUUGAGUCAGCAAGGGCUCCUCUGACUGUGAUAUUUAAAAUUAUUGCACACUUUACUUUUCCCCAUAGCACUUAUCACCAACUAAAAUACUAUAGAUUUCAAUUAUUUAUUUGUUAGAUGUCUGUUUUUUCCCAGUAGAAUAUGAGUUCCCUGAGGGCAGGGAUUUGUGUCUGUUUCAUUCACAGCAAUGUCUCUAGGAUUUAUAUCACUGCAUUGCACAGAGUAGGCAUUUGAUAAAAAUUUGUGGAAUCUGUGUAUCUUAUAUACUUCCACAUGCAAUAAUUUUCCACUUGUGACCUUUAAAUUAGAUGAAGAAGAAAUCUUGGAAUAUUUUGGAAUUUUUAGUUACAGUUUAAGUAAUCAAAAUAGUAGGAUAAUUUCCUACUAUUGAUUGAUUUAUCAUCUGCUGGUGUUGGGUAACUCAGAUUUUCAUGUUACCCACCCAUCAGCCAUUUUAUGAGGAUUUAUGAAGUUUUUUCUUGUCCAUCAAUUACUUUUGACCUUCCAAGCUGUAGAUUUGUGCUGAAUCAAACUCUAGUCUAGCCUUGUACUCUAAUUACGGCUUUCUCAGAGACAUUAACAUUUAGUGUUAGGCAAAUUCAAUUUUACUAUUGCAAAUAUAAACUGCACCAUAAGGAGAAAACCAACAUCAGUUUUUCAUUCAUUUCUACCAAGGGCCGGAUGCAAACAUUUUUAAAAGAAAGUGAAAAAAAAAUUUCAUUUUUACGGUGUAUUACAUUGUAAUAAUUUAGACUGACUUACUUGCCUAUGAAUUUCAUAUAACAUUCUUCAAACUUCUAAUAGAUUCCAAAGUAUGCAUUUUUAAAAGCAUAAAAUGGUAGAUAACUUAGAAUAAUCUAUUAAAAUGAUUAGAAAACUAAUUAAGCCAAAUACUAAAGAAAUGCAAAAUACAAAUCUUAUAUUCCUGUUUCUUUAUGUUAAACUGUUGUCCGGAUCAAUUUUUUCUUAUUUUUCUUAUUUUUAAAUUCAUAUAUUCAUUUGUGCACUCAUUCAAGCCUUAUUCAUUUCACAAUUUCGGCACAUAAUUUGAGCUAAGAGUAUAUAAAACGUACAAAAUAAGAUCCAGAAUUUCAAAGAUCUUAUAAACUAGUUAGGAAGGGAAAUCGCUUUCAUAAUUAUUUCUCAUUUCUUUCACUAGACAUCAAGUACAGAAAAUUUACAGGGGUGCACUAUUUGGGAAGACAAGAAAUGAGGUGGUGCCUUUAAGAUAGAUGUCUCCAGGACUGAAACAAAAAUAAAGUUUGCACACUUAACUCGUGUAAGCUUCAGAUACUCAGAAAAUUGACCUUCUCAGCAGUGCUCUAUAAAUGAAGUUGCAGAUCUGUGCACUGGCACACAGCAAUCUUUACUCUGUCUUCCUUCCUCAAAACCUUUCAAAAUCCUUCCCAGCCUUAGCUGCUUAUGCUGCAUGAAAGUGGUCGGUCCUUCCUCUAAGCACGUUGUAAGCCUUUAAGCUUGAGCUUCGGCAUCCUUUCCUUCUGGCAGCCUGCUUCGUGUCUUGUCUGGAAGAUGCCUUUCUGCAAGAGAGCCUGACAUUCCCUUCCACAGCUUCUUUCCCUGUCCUCUUACAGCACACACCCUAAAUUAUUAAAAUCACCUGCUUCCUUGUCCAAUUUCCCCACCAAGAUCGUAAACUCUGAAAAGGUUGGUAUUAUUUCCACGUUGCCGCCUUUGAGACACUACACUUAGCACAGUACCUGCCUUUAAAUAGCUGUUUCAUAAAUAUUAAUUGAAUAAACAAGUUGCUUUAUAUCAAAUUAUACCUUAAAUAUUUGAUUUAGAGUGUUCAUCUGCAGUGAUUAAGGAAGUAGUUAAGGAAGCAGUUAAUUUUUAAUAAUUUACCAAUGCUUAGGUGGACAGGUUUAGACAAUUUCAAAAUAUCUUAGUUGAGUCGGGGGUGAGAGGCAGGUUAAAGCAUGCCCAAGACACAUAAGGUUUCCAAAGGGCUUUGCAUAAAUAAGUAAUUUAUUUAUAAUUAUUGCUUGUAUCGUGGCUCUCCAAAUCUCCAACAAGGUGAGCCGAAAGACCUUGAAUAGAGUUCAAACUAAGAAGAAUUAAAAAUAUGAACCGAGAAGGACAGAAGAAGGGAAGCAUGUAAAAAUGUACUUGUUCAGUCUUGCUACUAUUUCCCGGAGUCAAUCUUGGUUUAAAACAUAAUAAGCAGACCCAGCUUGUCAUACCUACUUUCUCCCAGGGGUUUGAAACUGUAAUGAAAGCAUUUUAACUCAGUGGUAACUGGAUUAGAGUAAUGCAAGAACCUGCCACCUUGGGACCUCCUGCUUGUGUCUCGGCCUGAAUAAAUGUGCAUGGAAAUUGUUUUAAACUGAUGGCUGUGCAAGAUCACAAGUUAUAGUAAUGUUGACAGUCUCAGCUUGGAAGCUGGCAAAACAACAAAAAAUGUGGAGCAGGGAUUGCAAACAGCUCGUUUGCUGACAUGAAAGCAGUGCUCAGAGGUUUAGAUGUACAACCUCUGCGGGUCAAUGGUGACAAUAUUUGCAAAGUGUCACCAGCAUCUCUACUGUGAAUUGAAGCAACUUAAUAUGAAUCCUUGCCGCAAAUCUAAAGCAACUUGAUUUCUUUUCCAGCCUCCAGGACUCAUAAGAAGCCAUAAGGAGAAGUUUCUCAGACUUAAAGUGUGCAAAAGGAUACUAAAUCUUCCAUCUCCUGGAGGCUGGGUCAAGAGACUAAUGUCUACAGAGGGGAGAUGAUGCGACCAAAGCCCCAAAGCCCCAGAGGGCUGAGCCAGUACUCACACUUAGAGGAAUGAGGUAGGGAUGGCACUCUUAUUUUAACAUGUGGCACUGAAAUUCUCCCAGGGAGAGAAUUGCGGUAAAGAUAAUGUUUGGCUAAAUGCUUGUUGAAAUAAGUUUGCAUCACAGCAGAGAAGAAUUUGGACUUCCUGAUGUCAGGGAACAGAGCGUGUGGUUGAUAGUGGUGUGAGAAAGAAUAAAGGAGAUAACCAUGAAAAACUGUUCAAUAUGUGAUGGACAUCCUGACUCUAAAUGACUAUAAUCUGUUAAACUUAAGAAUGUGGCUUUUUGUAGUGGACACUAAAAAGAAAAUUUUAUAUUGGGGAAGAUGUAGUAAGAAUAGAAAACAUUGCUUAGAAAGGUUAUGGGAACUCAGGAUGGUGUAUUAUCAUUCUAAAGCCAUGAUGAUGUGAAAUGAUUUCUACUAUGAAUUCAGCUUGACAAUUAAAGAAAUUAAGUCACAGAAAGAACUUUCUUAACACUACCAAACCAGUGGGUGUUCCAGCCAGGAUUUGAACCCUUGGAGUCUGAGUCCAGAGUCAGUAUGGUAAACAGUUAUAAAGUGGAGCCUCUCCAAAAUGAUGGUAUGCUUAUUGCUUUUAAGAAUUUAAAGAAUUGUAGGGUAUAAACAGAACAAUUUUUGACACACUAAUGAGGAGAAGUCAUAGGUCUCUGUCAAAGAUAUUGUUUUCCCUGUGGCAAGGGAGCUAUGGAUAAUAUUAGAGACUUUAGAAGUGGGAUUAAAAAUAAGGCAAACAAGAAAUGAUUCCAAAAGAAUAACUUUCAUUAAAAUACGUUGAAAAAAAUACCAUACAGGAAAAUUACCUAGUUGACAUAUUUUUUCCUCUCAUAAGGUCUCCAAACACUUUCAUCAAUGAAAUCUCCAUCUAAGCAGCUGACUGCAUAUGCUGAUUAGACCGGAUAAAGCAGAAGAGAGAUGUGGGUGAACGUAGAACAAUAUUAGAGUGUGUCCUGUAGAGGGAAGUCAAACGGCCCCCAGUCAGAGGAGAUGGCGGAGGAGGGGGUACCUCCACAUCACAGCUUCUUCCCCAAUUACUGCAGCAGAAAAUGAAGGGUGCACCAUCAAGAUCAGAAAAUGUGAACUUCAAGUGGAUUCUGUGGAUUUCUGCUGUCAGAGAAACUGAAGAGCCCAGCAUUGUGCCUGGCACGUUCCCCAUACAUCUAUUAUGUGUUUCCAGUUGAUAUCGGUCUCUGAGCAUCGUGGCAUCUCACUCAGGACCAGAUGGAGUGCUGGAGUGCCUCAUCUCUCUCUCUGCUCAAGUGCGUUACUUCCCUGUCCAGCUACCGAGGAAGAGAGAAAACGAAGUCAGAUGAAGCAUAACCUUUCCCUGCUGAGGAAGCUGCACCUGGUUUUUCUGGGCGAGAAGAGGCUCGCCUCCCUGUGUCCUUCAAAGCAGCCGGCCUCUCUUCGACAAGGAUACUUUGGGAAACAGCAAGUGCCAGACCAUUACGGAACUCCAUACAGUCAAGCACUGAGCAAGUCCCCAGUGCUUCUACCCUGGACCCAGACUGCCUAAGUUUCGUGUGGAAUUCUUCUGUGGAGCGGAGAAAACAAGGGAGCUGGAGGAUAGAAUUUUUAUCCAGAUGUCUAGAGGAAGAUUGACAUUGGAAAUUUAACUUGAAGCCUUGCCCCAAGGAAAUGCUGAAACUCAGGC
ensembl:lncRNA